AAGAAUGUUGUAGAAACUCCGUAGAAAAACUGAUUUUGAACAACCUGAGGGUGUUCCAGCAUCUGCUAAAUGCAUGAGUAAAUGGCGUACUGACCUUGAGUGUCAAGAGCCAAACUCCGAUCUUUCUCAUGGCCCAGGA